AAUAAAGAGGCUUAAGAAAAACAUUCUCUUUGUUAUUAAUUCAUACAGAUACAGUCAUAAUGAGACUGAAUGACUCAGAAAGCUAACUGCAAAGUUUGAGAGGCCUAUCUCUUGGUCCAUGAUUUCAGCCUGUUUCAGGUGACCAGUAAGAAGGCUUCAUCAUAUGCUACUCUUGCUACAACUAAAUACUAUUAUCUCUGGAAUCAGAAACACUUUGAUUCAUCACUGAAGAUCUACAUAGAAAUUACGAAGCAAACUUCAGCAAAAUCAAAUGAGUAGCCUGGUUUAGAGAGAAAUAAACAUCAAUGUUAUUACAGGGAAAGAAACUGAGCUGGGAAUUUUUCUUGACAAUAGCUGAAGAACUUCUGAGAAGUCCUGGAAUACCAGCAGGCCGAGACUACAGAGGCUUGGGCCAGCAACUUCUCCAUUACCUCUCCGGUAACAGUCAGUUCUUCCGAUGAGACGUGGUCUCCAGAAGUCCCCGGCAAGGCGGUGUGCAUUCCAGAUUCCACUUCAAUUAUUCACGUGGGGACUG
rnacentral:lncRNA from 1 species